rnacentral:rRNA from 1 species
UACAGAGGUCUCAAGCGUUGUUCGGAUUCAUUGGGCGUAAAGAGCGCGCAGGCGGUCGUCCAAGUCGCGUGUGAAAGCCCCCGGCUCAACUGGGGAGGGUCACGCGAUACUGGUCGACUCGAAGGCAGGAGAGGGUAGUGGAAUUCCCGGUGUAGUGGUGAAAUGCGUAGAUAUCGGGAGGAACACCAGUGGCGAAGGCGACUACCUGGCCUGUUCUUGACGCUGAGGCGCGAAAGCUAGGGGAGCAAACGGG